rnacentral:rRNA from 1 species
AUUGAACGCUGGCGGCAGGCCUAACACAUGCAAGUCGAACGGUAGCACAGAGAGCUUGCUCUUGGGUGACGAGUGGCGGACGGGUGAGUAAUGUCUGGGAAACUGCCCGAUGGAGGGGGAUAACUACUGGAAACGGUAGCUAAUACCGCAUAACGUCUUCGGACCAAAGUGGGGGACCUUCGGGCCUUACACCAUCGGAUGUGCCCAGAUGGGAUUAGCUAGUAGGUGGGGUAAAGGCUCACCUAGGCGACGAUCCCUAGCUGGUCUGAGAGGAUGACCAGCCACACUGGAACUGAGACACGGUCCAGACUCCUACGGGAGGCAGCAGUGGGGAAUAUUGCACAAUGGGCGCAAGCCUGAUGCAGCCAUGCCGCGUGUAUGAAGAAGGCCUUCGGGUUGUAAAGUACUUUCAGCGGGGAGGAAGGCGUUAAGGUUAAUAACCUUGGCGAUUGACGUUACCCGCAGAAGAAGCACCGGCUAACUCCGUGCCAGCCGCCGCUGUAA